GGGAAUGUGGCUUAGUGGUAGAGUACUUGUUUAGCAUGCAUGAAGCCCUGGGUUCAAUUCCUCAAUACCA
rnacentral:tRNA from 1 species